UACGAAGGGGGCGAGCGUUAAUCGGAAUUACUGGGCGUAAAGCGUGCGUAGACGGUUAUGUAAGUCGGGUGUGAAAGCCCCGGGCUCAACCUGGGAAUUGCAUUCGAGACUGCAUAGCUAGGAUGCGGAAGAGGGAAGUGGAAUUUCCGGUGUAGCGGUGAAAUGCGUAGAUAUCGGAAGGAACAUCAGUGGCGAAAGCGACUUCCUGGUCCAGCAUCGACGUUCAGGCACGAAAGCGUGGGGAGCAAACAGG
rnacentral:rRNA from 1 species